GGGGUCAUUUCCUUGAUAACAGUGUAAUAAGGAUCAAAGCUGUCAGUUGCAUUUUACAACAUCCAGCUAAAACAAAAGCUUGCAUCCCUCCAGCAGUUCUCCUGCCAACCAGUUUUCCAUGCAUGUUAUCAGAAGAUCAGAGUAAUUAACAUCUAGGUGUAACCAUGGAAGUUUGUGUUUUCCCAAGUCAUCCUGUCUAACCUACCCAGAAACCUUACCUAACUGGUCACUUCUUUCACAAUGUUACAGUAUAGCUGGAGGGAAGAGAUCAAAGACUUGUGUAAAGACAGAACUCUCUGGAAAAAGAGGGCGGGAUAAACCACCUUUGGGAGGGAAAAGGGAUUCUGGGACUUGUAGUUUUUGACAGCAAAAAUUAGUCUUUAAAAGGACAACAUCCAAGGAAGUCACGCUCUCUUUUUGUCUCUUUUGGAGAGGACAGCGUAGCUAAUGGGUGCCAUGGUGAACUGAGAGAGGCUGUCCCAGAUUACCCAAGAUGAAGGCGCAAGGGGAAGACCUACAUUUAAAUGUUUAAGUAUUGCCCUUU